CUUAACCCUGUGAAGAUUCAGAGGAGUUGCUUUGUGUUUUUUUACGGGGAGUCGCUUUGUAGUAUUAUCAGAGGAAAAAAAGGGAGAUGUUUUUCCUUUAUUAUAGUGAUGAUGGAGGCCUUAACAGGAAGUAGAUGAUAAGUGGUAUGUACUCCCUCGGUAUCUAAAUAUUGAAAAACAGUAUAACUGAGCCACUUAGGCCCUUCCACAGCGAUUUGGCUCUCUAAACCGUCCGAUUAGCUCAUUCAAUGUUGUCGAUUGUCCCGUUGUUUCACUGUGCAUGCCCGACAGCCUUUUACCACUCCACCUCAAGCGUCCCGGCCGGCCCAACACUAAAUGGGCUGCUGCUCCGAUGAACGACUUGGAGGCCCUCUAAUGCACUGACGUUGUGUAGCCUGCGAUCGUGAAUAGACGGUUGGUGUCGGCGCAGAGGCAGGGGAGCACGCGAGGGCCGCAUGCCUCUCGAGAGCGAUGGCGGCGGCGGCGGCCUCCUCACACCACCGCACACCUUCCCUGACCGCCAUACACCUUCCCUGAGCAGCAGCAGACCACCGCAUCCGCUACUUCCUCUUGUCCUCCCAUCCUCCAUCACUGUUCGAACAACAUCGACCCCGCGACGGCAGGAAGAAGAUGCCUCAUGGUUUUCCGGUAGCUUCCUUUGAUGCUAAGGUGCUCGCUGCAGGGGAAGAAAAAGAAGCGAUGAAGAAUAGAUGGUGUGCAGACGCCGCUGGAACCCUCUGGCUAUUAGCCCCUCCCACCACUUCCAUCUGAGGCUCGGAUCCAAUUCUUGCAAUCGACUCCAAAGGGAUCUCUCUGGCGACGGCGAUGUAUUUCCGUUGAGCGUCAUCCAGUUUCUCCAGUGUGCUCACUCCAGGAGACGAACACAUGAGGUGGUCACUACACCAUGAGGAGAUACAGACUAGAGUUUUCUCUCUGAUUGGGUGAAUGUAUUUUCUUGACUGAUUCUUACGGGCACACAAUUCUUAUCUGCCCGUCUAUUGCUGGCAGGCCUCAGCAGUCAGCAUAUUAUGUGCUUUUCUUAAUUCUGAAUUUCCAAUUCUAUUUGGAUUGGAUGCAAUGAGUCAUAUUCAAAGACAUCCUAGCAUUCAUUAGAACUGAAGUAGUAUAUACCCAUGAUUCAAAACAAUGUUACCCGUAAAGCACCUGCUAAUGGUAAAAAUUAUUGGCAAAUGGGUAUGUAGUGUUAGUGUUAGUGUUAGUUCAGUGGAUCGGUCAAUCUAACCUGACCUUGAAUUUGCAAAUAUGUUCUAUCAGAAGGAAGGAUCGCAUUUCUAUAUAUUCGUCCCUUGGGUGUUCAAAUUCAAGCAGAGUUCUUGCUUAAUUAAGCAAUCUUUCUUCUGUCAAAAUAUCAAACAUUCUUUCUCUAUGGCUGUGGACUUGAAGCAAUGUAUCUCGAACCAUUCAAAAUAUACAAUUCAUUUUAAAUUCUCA